UACGUAGGGCGCAAGCGUUGUCCGGAAUUAUUGGGCGUAAAGAGCUUGUAGGUGGCUUGUCGCGUCUGCCGUGAAAACCCGAGGCUCAACCUCGGGCGUGCGGUGGGUACGGGCAGGCUAGAGUGUGGUAGGGGAGACUGGAACUCCUGGUGUAGCGGUGAAAUGCGCAGAUAUCAGGAGGAACACCGAUGGCGAAGGCAGGUCUCUGGGCCACUACUGACGCUGAGAAGCGAAAGCAUGGGGAGCGAACAGGAUUAGA
rnacentral:rRNA from 1 species